CAGUCAGGGAGGGCCUACUGAACAAGGUCACCACAGUCAGGGAGGGCCUACUGAACAAGGUCACCACAGUCAGGGAGGGCCUACAGAACAAGGUCACCACAGUCAGGGAGGGCCUACAGAACAAGGUCACCACAGUCAAGGAGGGCCUACAGAACUAGGUCACCACAGUCAGGGAGGGCCUACAGAACAAGGUCACCACAGUCAGGGAGGGCCUCUAGAACAAGGUCACCACAGUCAGGGAGGGCCUACUGAACAAGGUCACCACAGUCAGGGAGGGCCUACAGAACUAGGUCACCACAGUCAGGGAGGGCCUCUAGAACAAGGUCACCACAGUCAGGGAGGGCCUCUAGAACAAGGUCACCACAGUCAGGGAGGGCCUACUGAACAAGGUCACCACAGUCAGGGAGGGCCUACAGAACAAGGUCACCACAGUCAGGGAGGGCCUACUGAACAAGGUCACCACAGUCAGGGAGG